CCUUUCCUAUAUUUUGGCAGAUAACCCUCUGAAAACAUACUUGGCCCAUUUUGACUUUGAUAUAGACAAGGCCAUAGAAGCAGUCAACUUCCUGCCCAACAAUCAGUCUUCCACAAAUUUUCUUCCUUGGAGAAUCCCGCAUGAACCCGGUAUGAUUUGAUAAGGAUGCACUGCGUCUGGCUGAAGACGUUAAACUUAGCGCUUGUUGGGAGGCAACCCAAUUCUCGUAGGUUAUUUUUGCAUAUUUUCUUGUCGCAUUUUUUUAUUUUCUUAACAGGAUCCCUCAUAUUACUGAUGCAACUACGGUAAAAUGCUUCUAUCCUCC
rnacentral:lncRNA from 1 species